rnacentral:rRNA from 1 species
AACGCUGGCGGCGUGACCUUAACACAUGCAAGUCGAACGGUAAGGCCCUUCGGGGUACACGAGUGGCGAACGGGUGAGUAACACGUGGGUGAUCUGCCCUGCACUUCGGGAUAAGCCUGGGAAACUGGGUCUAAUACCGGAUAGGACCAUGGACUUCACGGUUUGUGGUGGAAAGCUUUUGCGGUGUGGGGAUGGGCCCGCGGCCUAUCAGCUUGUUGGUGGGGUAAUGGCCUACCAAGGCGACGACGGGUAGCCGGCCUGAGAGGUGUCCGGCCACACUGGGACUGAGAUACGGCCCAGACUCCUACGGGAGGCAGCAGUGGGGAAUAUUGCACAAUGGGCGCAAGCCUGAUGCAGCGACGCCGCGUGAGGGAUGACGGCCUUCGGGUUGUAAACCUCUUUCAAUAGGGACGAAGCGCAAGUGACGGUACCUAUAGAAGAAGCACCGGCCAACUACGUG